rnacentral:rRNA from 1 species
AACCGCGAAAAAGACCUUACCAAGUCUUGACAUCCCUCUGUCAGUACUCAGUAAUGGAGUACUUUCUUCGGAACAGAGGUGACAGGUGGUGCAUGGUUGUCGUCAGCUCGUGUCGUGAGAUGUUGGGUUAAGUCCCGCAACGAGCGCAACCCUUGUCUUUAGUAGCCAGCAUUUCGGAUGGGCACUCUAGAGAGACUGCCAGGGAGAACCUGGAGGAAGGUGGGGAUGACGUCAAAUCAUCAUGCCCCUUAUGACUUGGGCUACACACGUGCUACAAUGGCGUAAACAAAGAGAAGCGAACUUGUGAGAGUGAGCAAAUCUCAAAAAUAACGUCUCAGUUCGGAUUGUAGUCUGCAACUCGACUACAUGAAGCUGGAAUCGCUAGUAAUCGCAGAUCAGAAUGCUGCGGUGAAUACGUUCCCGGGUCUGUAC